GCGCGGAGCUGUUCGCCGCUCCAGGUGCUGAGUCUGAGGGAGCCGCCGGACGCGAGAGCCGCGGUCGCCGCCGCCGCAGCCUCCUCGAGAGCCGCCGCAGGGAAGCCGGGGCCGUGAGGAGCCCGGAGUUGCUGGGCGCGCUUCCCGGCGCUGACCGCCCUCCUGCCCGCCGUCUGAGCUCCGGACUCCACGGGGACGCCCUCUCGUCAGAGGAAAGGACGGGAAGGUCGGAGCCGGUCCACCUCAGGUUCUCCAGCAUGGCCCACUGAGGUCAACCAUGACCGGCUGGCCACUGCCUGCCACUGAGCACCCAGGCUUGCAUCUCUGCAGGAGGUGACACUCCCCCGGCCGCCCUCCCCCGCCCCCGC